GACGAACGCUGGCGGCGUGCCUAAUACAUGCAAGUCGAGCGGAGCGGCGGACGGGUGAGUAAUGCCUAGGAAUCUGCCUGGUAGUGGGGGAUAACGUCCGGAAACGGGCGCUAAUACCGCAUACUAUCAGAUGAGCCUAGGUCGGAUUAGCUAGUUGGUGGGGUAAAGGCCUACCAAGGCGACGAUCCGUAACUGGUCUGAGAGGAUGAUCAGUCACACUGGAACUGAGACACGGUCCAGACUCCUACGGGAGGCAGCAGUGGGGAAUAUUGGACAAUGGGCGAAAGCCUGAUCCAGCCAUGCCGCGUGUGUGAAGAAGGUCUUCGGAUUGUAAAGCACUUUAAGUUGGGAGGCGUUACCAACAGAAUAAGCACCGGCUAACUUCGUGCCAGCAGCCGCGGUAAUAC
rnacentral:rRNA from 1 species